GCCUGGUUGACUGGUCAUUCAUUUACUCCACUGAGGGCCUCUUCCUGUCUCACAGAUGUCUGUAUCCAGACUUCAGAAACUGCUGGGCUUCAUGUAUGGAUAUGUAUCUAUGUAUAUAUCUAUACCUACAUCUAGACAUUAUCCUUUGCUUGAUGUGUAAUUGGAAAAGAAGUCUUUCCUGUUCUGGAGGCUGACUCAUUACUCCGAACUGUGCUGUACUCAAGGUGUGUCCUUGGCAACAAGGAAUGGCUGUCUCCUUUGGGGAAAUGCUCACUCAGAGAGUAUUUGUAAGGGUUCUAGAGCCCCACUCGUCCAUAGAAUUGCCCAGUUGAAUAUGAUAAACUGUCAACCCCCUGUCGGAAGAAGCUCCAGGAACAAAAACUGCCAUUGAUUAAGUAAAAUAAAAACGAUGUGUG